CUCCGGUUGAUCCCGCCGGACCCGACUGCUAUCGGAUUGAGAUUUAGCCAUGCGAGUCGAACGUCCCCCUGUUGCGGGGGGCGUGGCGUACGGCUCAGUAACACGUAGUCAACCUGCCCCGGAGACAUGGACAACCCCGGGAAACUGGGAUUAAUCCGUGAUAGGUCAUCUCAUCUGGAAGGAGAGAUGGCUUAAAGGGGUACGCGGGCUUCUUCUGCGUAUUCGCUCCAGGAUGGGACUGCGGCCUAUCAGCUUGUUGGUGAGGUAAUGGCCCACCAAGGCUAUAACAGGUACGGGCUCUGAGAGGAGAAGCCCGGAGAUGGGUACUGAGACACGGACCCAGGCCCUAUGGGGCGCAGCAGGCGAGAAACCUUAGCAAUGUGCGAAAGCACGACUAGGUUAAUCCGAGUGAUUUCUGUUGAAGAAAUCUUUUGUCAGUCAUAAAACCACAGACGAAUAAGGGGUGGGCAAGUCUGGUGUCAGCCGCCGCGGUAAUACCAGCACCUCGAGUGGUCAGGAGGUUUAUUGGGCCUAAAGCAUCCGUAGCCGGCUACGCAAGUCUCCGGUUAAAUCCAGCUGCUCAACAGAUGGGCUGCCGGAGAUACUACAUAGCUAGGGAGCGGGAGAGGCAGACGGUAUUCUGUGGGUAGGGGUAAAAUCCUUUGAUCCAUAGAGGACCACCAGUGGCGAAGGCGGUCUGCCAGAACGCGUUCGACGGUGAGGGAUGAAAGCUGGGGGAGCAAACCGGAUUAGAUACCCGGGUAGUCCCAGCUGUAAACGAUGCAAACUCGGUGAUGCAUUGGCUUAUGGCCAAUGCAGUGCCGCAGGGAAGCCGUUAAGUUUGCCGCCUGGGAAGUACGGUCGCAAGACUGAAACUUAAGGAAUUGGCGGGGGAGCA
rnacentral:rRNA from 1 species